rnacentral:rRNA from 1 species
CCUACGGGAGGCAGCAGUCGAGAAUCAUUCACAAUGGGGGAAACCCUGAUGGUGCGACGCCGCGUGGGGGAAUGAAGGUCUUCGGAUUGUAAACCCCUGUCAUGUGGGAGCAAAUUAAAAAGAUAGUACCACAAGAGGAAGAGACGGCUAACUCUGUGCCAGCAGCCGCGGUAAUACAGAGGUCUCAAGCGUUGUUCGGAAUCACUGGGCGUAAGGCGUGCGUAGGCUGUUUCGUAAGUCGUGUGUGAAAGGCGCGGGCUCAACCCGCGGACGGCCCAUGAUACUGCGAGACUAGAGUAAUGGAGGGGGAACCGGAAUUCUCGGUGUAGCAGUGAAAUGCGUAGAUAUCGAGAGGAACACUCGUGGCGAAGGCGGGUUCCUGGACAUUAACUGACGCUGAGGCACGAAGGCCAGGGGAGCGAAAGGGAUUAGAUACCCCAGUAGUC